GUCUUUGGCCAUGCCACCCUGAACGUGCCCGAUCUCGUCUGAUCUCGGAAGCUAAGCAGGGUCGGGCCUGGUUAGUACUUUGGACGGGAGACCACCUAGGAAGACCAGGUGCUGUAGGCA
rnacentral:rRNA from 1 species